rnacentral:rRNA from 1 species
UUAACCGUGCAAAGGUAGCGUAAUCACUUGUCCCUUAAAUAGGGACCUGUAUGAAAGGCUAAACGAGGGCUUUACUGUCUCCCCUUUCAAGUCAGUGAAAUUGAUCUACCCGUGCAGAAGCGGACAUAAUAAUACAAGACGAGAAGACCCUUUGGAGCUUAAGGUACAAAACUCAACCACGUCAAACAACUCAUUAAAAAGCAAAAACUUUGUGGAACUGAGACCUUACCUUCGGUUGGGGCGACAAUGGAGGAUAAUAUAACCUCCAAGUGGACUGGGAUAGCAACCCCCUAAAACCAAGAGAAACACCUCUAGGCCACAGAACAUCUGACCAAACAUGAUCCGGUUACUAAAGCCGAUCAACGAACCAAGUUACCCUAGGGAUAACAGCGCAAUCCUCUCUCAGAGUCCCUAUCGACGAGGGGGUUUACGACCUCGAUGUUGGAUCAGGACAUCCUAAUGGCGCAGUUC